rnacentral:rRNA from 1 species
UACGUAGGGAGCAAGCGUUGUCCGGAAUCAUUGGGCGUAAAGCGCGCGUAGGUGGCCUCAUAAGUCCGCUGUAAAAGUCAACGGCUCAACUGUUGAACGCCGGUGGAUACUGUCGGGCUAGAGUCCGGAAGAGGCGAGUGGAAUUCCCGGUGUAGCGGUGAAAUGCGUAGAUAUCAGGAGGAACACCGGUGGCGAAGGCGGCUAUCUGGACAGAGUCUGACGCUGAGGCGCGAAAGCUAAGGGAGCAAACAGG